rnacentral:rRNA from 1 species
AUUGAACGCUGGCGGCAUGCCUUACACAUGCAAGUCGAACGGCAGCACGGGAGCAAUCCUGGUGGCGAGUGGCGAACGGGUGAGUAAUAUAUCGGAACGUGCCCAGUCGUGGGGAUAACGUAGCGAAAGCUACGCUAAUACCGCAUACGAUCUAUGGAUGAAAGCGGGGGAUCGCAAGACCUCGCGCGAUUGGAGCGGCCGAUAUCAGAUUAGGUAGUUGGUGAGGUAAAGGGCUCACCAAGCCGACGAUCUGUAGCUGGUCUGAGAGGACGACCAGCCACACUGGGACUGAGACACGGCCCAGACUCCUACGGGAGGCAGCAGUGGGGAAUUUUUGGACAAUGGGCGCAAGCCUGAUCCAGCAAUGCCGCGUGCAGGAUGAAGGCCUUCGGGUUGUUAAACGUG